ACGGUGGCGGCAUGCCUUACACAUGCAAGUCGAACGGUAACAGGUCUUCGGACGCUGACGAGUGGCGAACGGGUGAGUAAUACAUCGGAACGUGCCCAGUCGUGGGGGAUAACUACUCGAAAGAGUAGCUAAUACCGCAUACGAUCUGAGGAUGAAAGCGGGGGACCUUCGGGCCUCGCGCGAUUGGAGCGGCCGAUGGCAGAUUAGGUAGUUGGUGGGAUAAAAGCUUACCAAGCCGACGAUCUGUAGCUGGUCUGAGAGGACGACCAGCCACACUGGGACUGAGACACGGCCCAGACUCCUACGGGAGGCAGCAGUGGGGAAUUUUGGACAAUGGGCGAAAGCCUGAUCCAGCAAUGCCGCGUGCAGGAUGAAGGCCUUCGGGUUGUAAACUGCUUUUGUACGGAACGAAAAAGCUUCUCCUAAUACGAGAGGCCCAUGACGGUACCGUAAGAAUAAGCACCGGCUAACUACGUGCCAGCAGCCGCGGUAAUACGUAGGGUGCGAGCGUUAAUCGGAAUUACUGGGCGUAAAGCGUGCGCAGGCGGUUAUGUAAGACAGAUGUGAAAUCCCCGGGCUCAACCUGGGAACUGCAUUUGUGACUGCAUGGCUAGAGUACGGUAGAGGGGGAUGGAAUUCCGCGUGUAGCAGUGAAAUGCGUAGAUAUGCGGAGGAACACCGAUGGCGAAGGCAAUCCCCUGGACCUGUACUGACGCUCAUGCACGAAAGCGUG
rnacentral:rRNA from 1 species